rnacentral:rRNA from 1 species
AUGAUAUAUUAUUUAAUCGUGGAAAUGCCAUGUCAGGUGCACCUAUCAGAAUUGGAACAAACCAAUUACCAAAUCCACCUAUCAGAAUCGGAACAAACCAAUUACCAAAUCCACCUAUCAUCGCCGGCAUAA